rnacentral:lncRNA from 1 species
GUGGAGCGGAACCCGGCCCCGCGAUCCGGCCCGGGUUUUGCAUGCCACCCACUCGCCCGCUCGGCCGCGGAGAAUUCCAUAAUCACAGCGGGCGAGAGCGGAGACUGGGAGCGAAAAAUCCGGGAUCCGGCAACUUUGGGCAGCGCAUGCGCGCCCGCGGCGCUCCAUCCCAAACACACACACAUUUUUCCCCCGGACUUGGAAAGUCACCCAAAGCCGCCCCAAGUGCAGGCACACAGACCUUGGUGACAGAAGACAAAGAUCCCAUUGGCCCUUCCAGGUGCCCUGGCCACCAACCCCUCCUUCACAGGGGGGUCCUGCAACUCCCAGGUGGUGCGUGUUGGAAUGGACUUCAGACCCCAGCCUCUUGGGAUGCAAAGACAAAGUGGACAAGAAACCCCUGCUCUCACCAAGUUCCUGUAGCAGAGGUGACAACCAGCACACCCACAAAACUGAACAAAGACUUGGUGCUGAAUGGAAUGUGCCCGGGUCACUUAAGGCAGGAUGCACAGAGGAGGCCUCUGAGGUGACAGCUGAGAUGAAGGACAGGAAGUGGACAGCCAUCGGAAGAGCAGGCAGGAGAAUAUUCCAGAAAGGGAGAACAGGUAGUUUAAA